rnacentral:rRNA from 1 species
GACGAACGCUGGCGGCGUGCUUUACACAUGCAAGUCGAACGGUGAAGGUGGAGCUUGCUCCGCCGGAUCAGUGGCGAACGGGUGAGUAACACGUGGGCAACCUGCCCCUAACUUUGGGAUAACUACUCGAAAGAGUAGCUAAUACCGGAUAUGAAGUCUGUAGGCAUCUAUGGAUUUGGAAAGUUUUUCGGUUAGGGAUGGGCCCGCGGCCUAUCAGCUUGUUGGUGAGGUAGUGGCUCACCAAGGCGACGACGGGUAGCCGGCCUGAGAGGGCGACCGGCCACACUGGGACUGGGACACGGCCCAGACUCCCACGGGAGGCAGCAGUGGGGAAUAUUGCGCAAUGGGCGAAAGCCUGACGCAGCAACGCCGCGUGCGGGAUGAAGGCCUUCGGGUUGUAAACCGCUUUUAGCAGGGAAGAAGCGAAAGUGACGGUACCUGCAGAAAAAGCACCGGCUAACUACGUGCCAGCAGCCGCCGUAA